rnacentral:tRNA from 1 species
GCGUGUGUCGUCCAAUGGUGAAGAUGUCUGGUUUCCACCCAGAAGAUGCGGGUUCAAUUCCUGUCACACGCAUCA